rnacentral:rRNA from 1 species
UACGUAGGGACCGAGCGUUGUCCGGAAUCAUUGGGCGUAAAGAGCGUGUAGGCGGCCUUUUAAGUCCUGCGUGAAAUCCUGCGGCUCAACCGCAGACGGUCGUGGGAAACUGGAAGGCUAGAGUGCGGGAGAGGAGAGUGGAAUUCCCGGUGUAGCAGUGAAAUGCGUAGAGAUCGGGAGGAACAUCAGUUGCGAAGGCGGCCACCUGGACCAGCACUGACACUGAGGCACGAAAGCGUGGGGAGCAAACAGG